rnacentral:rRNA from 1 species
ACGAACGCUGGCGGCGUGCUUAACACAUGCACGUCGAACGGAAAGGCCCUGCUUUUGUGGGGUGCUCGAGUGGCGAACGGGUGAGUAACACGUGAGUAACCUGCCCUUGACUUUGGGAUAACUUCAGGAAACUGGGGCUAAUACCGGAUAGGAGCUCCUGCUGCAUGGUGGGGGUUGGAAAGUUUCGGCGGUUGGGGAUAGACUCGCGGCUUAUCAGCUUGUUGGUGGGGUAGUGGCUUACCAAGGCUUUGACGGGUAGCCGGCCUGAGAGGGUGACCGGCCACAUUGGGACUGAGAUACGGCCCAGACUCCUACGGGAGGCAGCAGUGGGGAAUAUUGCACAAUGGGCGGAAGCCUGAUGCAGCAACGCCGCGUGCGGGAUGACGGCCUUCGGGUUGUAAACCGCUUUCGCCUGUGACGAAGCGUGAGUGACGGUAAUGGGUAAAGAAGCACCGGCUAACUACGUG